AACGGCCCCGGCCGGCUGGGACGGCUGGCUUCGCGCUGCAGGUUCCACUCACGCCUGGUCGGUUGGCGGUGGCGGUUGUGGGGCGGGGGGCAGCUGGACAUGGAGCAGCCGUGGCCGCCGCCUGGACCUUGGAGCCUCCCUCGGGCCGAGGGUGAGGCUGAGGAAGAGAAUGACUUGGAUGUGUCCCCCGGUUCUCCCCGCUGCCCGCAGCUGCCGGAUGGCGGCACCCAGAUAUAUAGCCAUGGAAUUGAACUGGCUUGCCAAAAGCAAAAAGAGUUUGUGAAGAGUUCUGUGGCGUGCAAAUGGAAUCUCGCUGAAGCUCAGCAGAAACUUGGUAGCUUAGCACUGCAUAACUCUGAGUCCUUGGAUCAGGAACAUGCCAAAGCACAAAUAGCAGUAUCAGAACUGAGGCAACGGGAAGAAGAAUGGCGGCAGAAAGAAGAAGCUCUAGUACAGAGAGAGAGAAUGUGUCUGUGGAACAUGGAUGCCAUUAGCAAGGAUGUUUUUAAUAAGAGUUUUAUUAAUCAAGAUAAAAGAAAAGAUACAGAAGAUGAAGAUAAAUCAAAAUCAUUCAUGCAGAAAUAUGAGCAAAAAAUCAGACAUUUUGGUAUGUUGAGUCGAUGGGAUGAUAGUCAGAGAUUUCUGUCUGACCACCCCUACCUUGUAUGUGAAGAAACUGCUAAAUAUCUUAUUUUAUGGUGUUUUCAUCUAGAAGCGGAACAGAAAGGGGCUCUAAUGGAACAAAUAGCACAUCAAGCUGUUGUAAUGCAGUUUAUUAUGGAAAUGGCCAAAAACUGUAAUGUGGAUCCAAGAGGGUGUUUUCGUUUAUUUUUCCAGAAAGCCAAAGCAGAGGAAGAAGGUUAUUUUGAAGCAUUCAAAAAUGAACUCGAAGCUUUCAAGUCAAGAGUCAGACUUUAUUCUCAGUCACCUAGUUUUCACCCUUUGGCAGUUCAGAAUCAUGUUCCCCAUUCAGCUGUUGGAUCUAUAGGUUUAUUAGAAUCCUUGCCACAGAAUCCAGAUUAUCUUCAGUAUUCUAUUAAUACAGCUCUCUGCAGUUUAAACUCAGUGGUACAUAAAGAAGAUGAUGAACCCAAAAUGAUGGACACUGUAUAAUUUGGUUAAGACUGCUGAAGCCAAGUGCUAUUUUGUUACAAGAAAGGAAGAACUUGGCUAUUUUCUCGACACUUUUAUGGCCCAAGGACUUCUUUUAAAAGGUGAAGAAUCUGUAGAGCUAAUUGCCUCAAACUGCCAGCUACCUAUUUCUAAGAAUUUCAUGAUCCUUAUUGAGAAUGGACACAGAAGAAAAAUCCUCAGUUUCACAGAAAUUGAACCAUCACAGUAACUUGAACCAUUGCUCAACUUUUCCCCAGGACUUACCUGUAAGCACCCAAAUUGUUUUUAUUUCAUUUUGCCUACUUUAGAGGUAUUAAUGACUAAAGAUAGGGAGGAAAGAAGUUACCAGCAAACUGAGUGAAUAAUUCUGAAGGGUUUCUUUUGGUUUUGUGUCUUAAAAUAGGAAUUAUUGAAGAACAGUUUAAAAUUUGGCUAUAUAUAUGUCUUCACUUAACAAAGGGAAGUGUUCCAUAUAUUGAACGUGAAAGUAUGGCUAGAUUUAUUUUGGGAUCCUCUGACGCCAUAAUUUGCACUAUAUUUUUAGCAGUACUUCAGUAUUGAACAGUAAAUUGACAUUCUUAUUUUUCUUUAUCUUGCUUCAGCAAUAAGAACUCUUACAAGAAUUAUCUCUUAAAUAAGAAGGGUAUACUAAGCAAGUGCAUAAUUCAUAGUUCAGAUUGGAUGAUUUAAUCUAAAUAAACUAUGCAAACUGGAGAGUCAAAACAAGACAUCUUUGACAUCAAAUAGCUAUACCUACAUUUAAUCCCUGUUAAUUCAAUGUUACUUAUCUAUGGUAGUGGAGAUUAAUACUGAUUGUAAAUUUUUCUUUAGGAUAAAUGGUAACAUUCUCAUCCAGUUAUAUUAUUAGUGUACUCUGAAAUUUUGUCUAAUCAGUCCGUCAUCUUAAAACUUUUUUUAGGAAAAUGGGUCUCCUUUCAGCUUUUCUGUUACCUUUCUAAAAUGAGUUGACAUGCUGCCCAAGGAUCAUAAAUCUAGUUAACUAUAUUUUCUUAUAGGGUGAAGAAAUUGCUUGUGGGUUUAGACAAAACAAACGUGAAGUUAACCUUGGUAUAUUUUCAGAGAAAAAUAAAAAAAUGUCAAUUUACUGUUCUUAAAGUCAGCCUUGUAUUUGAUGUGAAACAAAUGUACUUGUCUGGAUUGAGGUCAGGCUUUUUAUUUCAACUUUGCCACUAUAUUAUUUAUAAUGCAUCUUUUGCAUCCAUUUCCCAUCUUUAUUGGACAUGUAUGUACUAUUUCACAGGUCUUUUGAGAAGCUGAUUCAUCUAAUAUUUGCUUGCUUACCAUGUAAGCUAAUGCACAGGAGAGGGUACAAAGAAUAAAAUUUGAUAAUGAAUUGCUUACCAUCAAUAGUAAAGUCAAAACCAUUCUCAAAGCCUUGAAGAAUUAGACUUGAAGUUUGAUCCUAAGUUUGAAAAUGAUAAAAAUUCCCUUAAUCUUUCACUUGGUUUCUCUAAAUAGCAUGAUGACUCAUGCUAUUUACUCUUCAAACACUUAAUUUAGAGUCCUUUGGUAAAAUAUGGCACAUUGCCAGAUUAAUUUAUACUAUGGUAAAAUCCUUCUACAAUGUAAUUAGAUAUAAUUUAACUUUACUCAUAUAUAUACAUAUAUGUUCAUUAGUGAGCUAAAAAUAAAAAGGCAGAAGGAGGUGUGAAUGGUACAAACUAUAUUGACUGUUACUAUUGAUAGAGACUAAGUACAGGUAGGCUAUGUUUAGCAUUUUAACAUUUUUACACUCUUAAUUUCCAAAAUCAAAAUCUUGAAUUGCAAACAUAGAAGAAAGCUGUUUCUGCAGUUUACCAGUAUCUGGGAAUACUUUCUGUCAAUGAGAAGUCACAACUUAUUAAACAUGUUAGAAAAUACAAAUUUAUUCUUGCUGUUGGUUGUAAAUAUUACAGUAACUUACUAUAACCUGAGGUCUGUAAUUGCCAUGAUUGUUCUUAACAUAGGUAAGUUCUGCCACAAAUUCUUGAGUGUCCAAGAUAUUUUAUUUUGCUAUAAUUGAUUGUUAAAAGCUGAGGAAGGUAGGCUGUGAGCUAGGGUUUAAAAUUUUGAGUCAGUAUUUAACCUAUUUCAAAUGGGAUAGAAAAUUUCUUGAUGGUACUGCCAAUUUGCAUUUCCCACAGCACACUCUGCUUAUGAAAGGUGUUCCAAAAUAACUGUAAUACUCUAGAAAAUAGGGCAGUGGGUUGAGGUGCUGUUCUCAUUAGCCUUUCAAAUAUGGUAGCCUCUCCUAGCCAUAACAGUUAGUUCCAGAAAUAAUCCCAUGUGGCAUGUAAAUCAUGGCAGCAUUUUUUAUAUUUUUGUUUUUUUAAGCAGGAUGCCUUCAGCAAUGACAUUCUUAACUCAUUAAGCACGAAACACGUUCUAUUUUUGUUUGUUUUAAUAAAGUAUUGUAUCUGUAAAACUUGGGUUAAGUGUUUUGGGGGUGGGAAGGUGUAAUGGCAGGAAGACCACAGGGCAGGAUCUCUAUGAUCCGAGCAGAACAGGAAAGGAAGGAGUCCUGGAGCCCUCGCUGGCUUUUUCACGCUUUUAUUGGCAUUUACCAGGUACACAGCAGGUCGGAGUGCUGGGGGGCCAGGAGGUUGGCAGGCCUCCUCGCCCCCCAUGAAUCUUCACUCUUUCUGGGCUCUCCAGCAUUCUCUCGUGGUUCAUUCUCUCUCUUCUGCCGGUACUCUCCUUGUCAUGGUUCUGUUCUUCUGGUGUCCCCGUGAAGCUGCCCUUUUUUUUAAGCCCAUUCUCAGCCCAGGUGUACCCACCUUCUUAUGCCCACACCCUACUCCAGGUAUCUGCCAUCAGGCACAGACUCAGGACCGCAGGGAUCCAUCAUCAAUCCUAAUGGUGGGAGGGCAGAAAAGCCUGAUACUUUACUUACCCUACAGAAGAGAAUAGUCACAUGAAAGAGGAAUCUUAAGUUUCAUAGCUAUGUGCGUAAUUUCCAAAUCCCCUAAGAAUGUCAAGAAGGCCAGUAGGGCUACAAUACUACAGCAGGAGAUAAAAGAUAAAAGCAUAAAAUGAAACCAGCUUGUAUACUAUUUUAAGGUAAUUAUUAGAAAGCAGUCACUAAUUCAGAAGCCAGUGAGACAUCACGGCUGCAGAACAGAAUGUGGGGUGGAGUGAGCCCUGUGAAAUACCAAAAACCCAGUAAUAUCCACAGUUCUGAAAUUUA